AGAACGAACGCUGGCGGCGCGCCUAAUACAUGCAAGUCGAGCGAGAAGACGUAGCAAUACGUUUGUAAAGCGGCGAACGGGGUGAGGAAUACAUGGGUAACCUACCCUCGACGUGGGGAAUAACUAGCCGAAAGGUUAGCUAAUACCGCGUACGCUCCUCGGACUUCGGUUCAGGGAGGAAAGCGACUACCGUGGGUAUCGCGCCUCCUGGAUGGGCUCAUGUCCUAUCAGCUUGUUGGUGAGGUAACGGCUCACCAAGGCUUCGACGGGUAGCUGGUCUGAGAGGACGAUCAGCCACACUGGCACUGCGACACGGGCCAGACUCCUACGGGAGGCAGCAGUAAGGAAUAUUGCGCAAUGGGCGAAAGCCUGACGCAGCGACGCCGCGUGGGGGA
rnacentral:rRNA from 1 species